UACGUAGGCAGCAAGCGUUGUUCGGAGUUACUGGGCGUAAAGGGCGUGUAGGCGGUUUUCUAAGUCUGGUGUGAAAUCUCCCGGCUCAACUGGGAGGGUGCGCCGGAAACUGGAAGGCUAGAGUGCGGGAUGGGAGAGUGGAAUUCCUGGUGUAGCGGUGAAAUGCGUAGAUAUCAGGAAGAACACCAGCGGCGAAGGCGGCACUCUGGGCCGGAACUGACGCUGAGGAGCGAAAGCGUGGGUAGCAAACAGG
rnacentral:rRNA from 1 species